rnacentral:lncRNA from 1 species
AAUUUAAAACUUUCUUUACCAAGAAAACAUUUAAUUAAAAAUAGCAAGCGGAAGACUUUCUAGACUUUAUACAUGAUGUCUCAAAACCAUCUAAUACUUUAGAGUACAAAAUUCGGGACUAAUCCCGUACACAACUCAAACAAUACUAAAAAGGACAUAAAAGGACAUAUUGGGUAUUGUCCUCGAAUCUAUGAGGACUCACCAAGUCUUCAUCAUCAACACUUAGAAACCUAUC